AGCUAAUAGAUACCCAGGUAGCCCUGGCAGUAAACGGUGCACGUUUGGUGUGGGAGGAUUCGACCCCUUCUGCGCCGGAGCUAAACGCGUUAAACGUGCCGCCUGGGGAGUACGGUCGCAAGAUUAAAACUCAAAGAAAUUGACGGGGGCCCGCACAAGCGGUGGAGUAUGUGGCUUAAUUCGAUGCAACGCGAAGAACCUUACCUGGCCUUGACAUGCAUCUCUAAGUUGGUGAAAGCCAGCGAGUCCCGAAAGGGACAAUUUGCACAGGUGCUGCAUGGCUGUCGUCAGCUCGUGUCGUGAGAUGUUGGGUUAAAGUCCCGCAACGAGCGCAACCCCUGUGAACUGUUGCCACCGACCCGCGAGGGUCGAGCACUCUGUUCAGACUGCCCUGUGAAACGGGGAGGAAGGUGGGGACGACGUCAAGUCAGUAUGGCCCUUACGGCCAGGGCUGCACACGUACUACAAUGCCCAGUACAGAAGGAUCCGAGAUCGCGAGGUGGAGGAAAUCUCUAAAA
rnacentral:rRNA from 1 species